UGCGUAGGCGGCACGUUAAGUCAGUGGUGAAAGCCUCCCGCUCAACGGGAGAAAUGCCAUUGAUACUGGCGUGCUUGAGUACGGACGAGGUAGGCGGAAUUUAUGGUGUAGCGGUGAAAUGCAUAGAUACCAUAAAGAACACCGAUAGCGUAGGCAGCUUACUAGACCGUAACUGACGCUGAGGCACGAAAGCGUGGGGAGCGAACAGGAUUAGAUACCCUGGUAGUC
rnacentral:rRNA from 1 species